AGAGUUUGAUCCUGGCUCAGAACGAACGCUGGCGGCAGGCUUAACACAUGCAAGUCGAACGCCCCGCAAGGGGAGUGGCGCACGGGUGAGUAACGCGUGGGAACGUGCCUUGGAGUCUGGAAUAACCUCGGGAAACUGAGGCUAAUACCGGAUAUUAUCUACGGAUGAAAGAUUUAUCGCUCCAAGAUCGGCCCGCGUCA
rnacentral:rRNA from 1 species